rnacentral:tRNA from 4 species
GCCGGCGUAGCUCAGUGGUAGAGCACUUCCUUGGUAAGGAAGGGGUCACGAGUUCAACUCUCGUCGCUGGCU